rnacentral:rRNA from 1 species
GACGAACGCUGGCGGCGUGCCUAAUACAUGCAAGUCGAACGAACUCUGGUAUUGAUUGGUGCUUGCAUCAUGAUUUACAUUUGAGCGAGUGGCGAACUGGUGAGUAACACGUGGGAAACCUGCCCAGAAGCGGGGGAUAACACCUGGAAACAGAUGCUAAUACCGCAUAACAACUUGGACCGCAUGGUCCGAGCUUGAAAGAUGGCUUCGGCUAUCACUUUUGGAUGGUCCCGCGGCGUAUUAGCUAGAUGGUGGGGUAACGGCUCACCAUGGGAAUGGUACGUAGCCGACCUGAGAGGGUAAUCGGCCACAUUGGGACUGAGACACGGCCCAAACUCCUACGGGAGGCAGCAGUAGGGAAUCUUCCACAAUGGACGAAAGUCUGAUGGAGCAACGCCGCGUGAGUGAAGAAGGGUUUCGGCUCGUAAAACUCUGUUGUUAAAGAAGAACAUAUCUGAGAGUAACUGUUCAGGUAUUGACGGUAUUUAACCAGAAAGCCACGGCUAACUACGUGCCAGCCGCCGCAGUAA